GACGAACGCUGGCGGCGUGCUUAACACAUGCAAGUCGAACGGAAAGGCCCUGCUUUUGUGGGGUGCUCGAGUGGCGAACGGGUGAGUAACACGUGAGUAACCUGCCCUUGACUUUGGGAUAACUUCAGGAAACUGGGGCUAAUACCGGAUAGGAGCUCCUGCUGCAUGGUGGGGGUUGGAAAGUUUCGGCGGUUGGGGAUGGACUCGCGGCUUAUCAGCUUGUUGGUGUGGUAGUGGCUUACCAAGGCUUUGACGGGUAGCCGGCCUGAGAGGGUGACCGGCCACACUGGGACUGAGAUACGGCCCAGACUCCUACGCGAGGCAGCAGUGGGGAAUAUUGCACAAUGGGCGGAAGCCUGAUGCAGCAACGCCGCGUGCGGGAUGACGGCCUUCGGGUUGUAAACCGCUUUCGCCUGGGACGAAGCGUGAGUGACGGUAAUGGGUAAAGAAGCACCGGCUAACUACGUG
rnacentral:rRNA from 1 species